UCUUGUUGGAAUACCCAGUGCCUGUUA
rnacentral:piRNA from 1 species